rnacentral:misc_RNA from 1 species
GGGACACCUGCCACAUGUAGAUAGAGAAUUAGAGAUUACACUACUUAUCAUCUCUUGCUGAGAUAGCACACCUUAAUUCUAAAGCUUUUCCAUGUCUAAGGUAGACAGAAAAAGAUUUUUUUUAAGGCCUAUAAAUUAAAAUCUCAAAUAGAAAAAUAUACCUUCCAUGCUUGUUCGGUAUAUAUAAAAUUCAAGCAUUACUUCCUACACAACAGAUAUGCAUUAGGCUUACGUAAUCUAGUUUUAACAUACUGUCAUCAGUACUUGAGUUUCCAUUCUAAUUAUGGAACAAAAGAAAGUUUUUAACCUGAACCCAG